CCGGAUUCUGGGGAUCCACGUGCUACAAUGGGCAGAACAAAGGGCAGCGAAGCCAGCGAGGCUAAGCCUAUCCCACAAAUCUGUUCUCAGUUCGGAUCUGCAGUCUGCAACUCGACUGCGUGAAGCUGGAAUCGCUAGUAAUCGCGGAUCAGCAUGCCGCGGUGAAUACGUUCCCGGGCCUUGUACACACCGCCCGUCACACCACGAGAGUUUGUAACACCCGAAGUCGGUGAGGUAACCUUUUGGAGCCAGCCGCCGAAGGUGGGACAGAUGAUUGGGGUGAAGUCGUAACAAGGUAGCCGUAUCGGAAGGUGCGGUUGGAUCACCUCCUAUAAGGGGCAUGUCAUCCGGGUGACCGGUUUUAUUGGGGCAUAUGGGUUGGGGGCUAGGGGGGGGUGCUGGGGGGGUGGUGGGGC
rnacentral:rRNA from 1 species